UUGGGUAGGGGAGCGUUCUGUAAGCCUGCGAAGGUGGCCUGUGAGGGUUGCUGGAGGUAUCAGAAGUGCGAAUGCUGACAUAAGUAACGAUAAAGCGGGUGAAAAGCCCGCUCGCCGGAAGACCAAGGGUUCCUGUCCAACGUUAAUCGGGGCAGGGUGAGUCGACCCCUAAGGCGAGGCCGAAAGGCGUAGUCGAUGGGAAACGGGUUAAUAUUCCCGUACUUGGUGUUACUGCGAAGGGGGGACGGAGAAGGCUAUGUUGGCCGGGCGACGGUUGUCCCGGUUUAAGCGUGUAGGUGUGUGUUCCAGGUAAAUCCGGUUCACUUUAACACUGAGGCGUGACGACGAGGCACUACGGUGCUGAAGCAACAAAUGCCCUGCUUCCAGGAAAAGCCUCUAAGCAUCAGGUAACAUCAAAUCGUACCCCAAACCGACACAGGUGGUCAGGUAGAGAAUACCAAGGCGCUUGAGAGAACUCGGGUGAAGGAACUAGGCAAAAUGGUGCCGUAACUUCGGGAGAAGGCACGCUGACACGUAGGUGAAGUGAUUUACUCAUGGAGCUGAAGUCAGUCGAAGAUACCAGCUGGCUGCAACUGUUUAUUAAAAACACAGCACUGUGCAAACACGAAAGUGGACGUAUACGGUGUGACGCCUGCCCGGUGCCGGAAGGUUAAUUGAUGGGGU
rnacentral:rRNA from 2 species